rnacentral:rRNA from 1 species
CCUACGGGAGGCUGCAGUAGGGAAUAUUGCUCAAUGGGGGAAACCCUGAAGCAGCAACGCCGCGUGGAGGAUGAAGGUUUUCGGAUUUUAAACUCCUUUUGUUAGAGAAGAGAAUGACGGUAUCUAACGAAUAAGCACCGGCUAACUCCGUGCCAGCAGCCGCGGUAAUACGGAGGGUGCAAGCGUUACUCGGAAUCACUGGGCGUAAAGAGCGCGUAGGCGGGAUAGCAAGUCAGAUGUGAAAGCCUAUGGCUUAACCAUAGAACUGCAUUUGAAACUGUUAUUCUAGAGUAUGGGAGAGGUAGGUGGAAUUCUUGGUGUAGGGGUGAAAUCCGUAGAGAUCAAGAGGAAUACUCAUUGCGAAGGCGACCUGCUAGAACAUAACUGACGCUGAUGCGCGAAAGCGUGGGGAGCAAACAGGAUUAGAUACCCCAGUAGUC